rnacentral:lncRNA from 1 species
AUGAAGAAAGUUGUUUAUUAGUGCUUUUGCAAGGGCUGAAGUGGUUCUUUCUUCGGUGUGCAGCCUAUAGUGACAUCUUGGUAGUAUGUGAAAUGUGAAAAACAUAUUGAGCAGGAUAUUAAAUGCUUCUAUUUGUAUCCACUUUUAUCUCUACAAGCUAGUGUGUUUGUUCACUAUGAUGCUGGGUUUGGACUCUUAAUAUGCUAAAUGUUUUGGAGCUGUAUAUAGUUUGAUUAAAAUUUGAAAAUUGG